CUCUCACUUCAGAAAAAAAUUGUAGAAAUUGACAGGUUAUUGCGAAAAAGUUCUGAUUUGGGUCCAGCUGUGGUUUUGGAAGGCUGGCCUCCAUCAAUAACGUUUUUGACCGACUGCUUUUGAUCUGCGUCCCUCCGGCUCCGCUCAGCCCUCAGAAACGGAGGGAGGGCACCGGCCUGGAGAGGACGCGGGGUUGAACGAAGGUUGUAUCCCAUUCCCCGAGGCUCUGCCUGAUCUUGGUGUCAGAAGGAGCGUUCUCAGGACAGUGUGACAAUCGUCACUUGUCCUGUCAUGGGUCAGGGGGUGCAGAUGUUACAGAAGCCAAAAGCAGAGAGCUCAUUGUGCCUCGAGAGCACUCACUUGAUGGAUCACUCAUCCUGGAUGAGUUCAUAACUGCAGGAAACAGGUGCCUGAGUACAGCCCUGUCGGCACCCAUGGAGGGAGGUGGUCCUGGCUGCAGGCAGGGACCAAUCCUGCUUGGCACAUGGAGCCUCCAGGACGUGGUGCCCCUAAUGCAGAACUGCUCCGUGGGUCUUUGGGGGGCUUUCAGCCAGGAUUUUGGACCAUGGGUGAGCCCAUCCCAUGCUGCUGGGCAUCAGAAGGCUGCUUGAAGUCAGGACGCACAGGUCCCGGUAGUAGGUCUGCAGAUUCCUUUAUAAAUCUGCCCUGCAUCUCGUAAGCAGCCGUGGCAACAUUGCUUCCCUCCCCCCCCCACCCUGGCCUCACUGUUCCAGGUGUUUUCUUCUGCCUUUGUCUCCUACGGCAGUGCACAGAGGACAGGCCCCUUCCAGGUCUGGGGGUCUGUGCGCCAAGCCCGCUCCCAGCAGCGCACUAAAUCCUGCCCCUCCACGUAAUUUAAAUCGCAGCAGCGCUUGCGCCUCGAGGAAGGUGGGGGAGGCAGCUGGAUCUGAGCAUCGCCUGGUUAAUGAACGUGCUGCGAUGCCUCUUCCUUCCUCUAUAUACAGCUGGAGGGACAAAUGUCAGGGGCAGAAGGGUUUUGGUCACCUGAGGGUACCGAUGCCGCUGACACGGUGCUGAGCUUGCAGCAGUCCUGGGGCAGUGUGGUGCUGAGCUGCCAGCACCUCCCAUCUCCAGCAAGGCAAAGAGAAAACCCAAGGAACAUUCCCCAGAUAUUUUUUAUCUAGUGGGAAGGAUGGCUCUUGGGGCAUC